CUGACUGAGCUGGGUUGAUCUGAGCUGGGCUGGGCUGGGCUGGGCUGGGCUGAGCAGAGCAGAGCAGGGCUGGGCUGGGCUGAGCAGAGCAGAACUGGGCUGAGCAGGGCUGGGCUGGGCUGAGCAGGGCUGAGCUGGGCUGUGCUGUGCUGAGCUGUGCUGAACUGGACUGAACUGGGCUGAGCUGGGUUGAACUGGGCUGAGCUGUGCUGGGCUGGGCUGGGCUGGGCUGGGCUGGGCUGGUCUGUCCUGUGAUCAAGCCAUGUUGAAAGCUGCCAGUCCAGAAGGCUUGUCCCUCAUUGAUGUUUGACCCUCU
rnacentral:lncRNA from 1 species